rnacentral:rRNA from 1 species
GACGAACGCUGGCGGCGUGCUUAACACAUGCAAGUCGAACGGAAAGGCCCCUUCGGGGGUACUCGAGUGGCGAACGGGUGAGUAACACGUGAGUAACCUGCCCUUGACUUCGGGAUAACUUCAGGAAACUGGGGCUAAUACCGGAUAGGAAUCCUUGCUGCAUGGUGGGGGUUGGAAAGCUUCGGCGGUUUUGGAUGGACUCGCGGCUUAUCAGCUUGUUGGUGGGGUAGUGGCUUACCAAGGCCUUGACGGGUAGCCGGCCUGAGAGGGCGACCGGCCACAUUGGGACUGAGAGACGGCCCAGACUCCUACGGGAGGCAGCAGUGGGGAAGAUUGCACAAUGGGCGGAAGCCUGAUGCAGCAACGCCGCGUGCGGGAUGACGGCCUUCGGGUUGUAAACCGCUUUCAGCAGGGGCGAAGCUUGUGGUGACGGUACCUGCAGAAGAAGCACCGGCUAACUACGUG